GUUACUCCAGCCACACCGGGCAACCAGGCGUCCCUGGCCUCACAACACCUCCUCACUCACACAGCUGCCCUUCUCGUCUCCAAACUGUCACUGCCUUUCUGCUUCCCACCUUAGCUGCUCUGGCUUAAAGUUCUCUUGGGAUGCUGCAUGAUACAGCUAACGCCUCCUGGACUAUUAAAGCCUCUAUGCAAUGCUGCUAGAUCCAGGCCGGGCCAUCCACCCACCUCCUAGGUCCAUCCACCGCAGUCAGGGUGCCCUUGGAGCCCCAAGCCUCCUGCCGAGGUACCUUCUGGGUUAGAGCUCCUUGCAGCCCAACCCCCACCCACACUGCACAUCCUGGGGCAGCAGCCUGGACCAGGGAGUGUGAGCAGAAGGUGGAAGAAAGACAGGAAAAGUAAUAGAGGCAGGAAAAGAAAGGUCCCUUGGUGAGGGAGAGCGGGAUUCUACACAUCGGCCAGCUCAGCCUACCCUCCAGCUGGUGGAAGAAAGGUCACCAAGCACAAGGUUGUCUGAGAAACGUCACAGCCAAGAGGAAGAAGAGCCGUGACAACAAAAAACAGUGUGGUGUCCGGGGAGGAUCCUGAGCAGAAAAGAACAAGAGGUAAAAACUAAGGAAGUCUGAAUACAGGGUGGCCUUUAAUA